UCAGUUUUUACCUUGGACUAGGAGUCAUAUCAGUAUCAAUAUUCAAAUGACUCAUCAGUAGUGAAUUGCUUGAUCUUAUGACACCGGCUUUCAUUGUUUGGGAUUCCUCAACAGCCAUUACUAUAGCCAAGCAUUCCUGUAAUUCAGCUAGUACAUGACUCAUAUCUGGCCUCUGUAUUGAAGCGUUUGAUACGCAGGAAAAGGCAGUCUCCACAGCU
rnacentral:misc_RNA from 1 species